UAGGGAAUCUUCGGCAAUGGACGAAAGUCUGACCGAGCAACGCCGCGUGAGUGAAGAAGGUUUUCGGAUCGUAAAACUCUGUUGUUAGAGAAGAACAAGGACGUUAGUAACUGAACGUCCCCUGACGGUAUCUAACCAGAAAGCCACGGCUAACUACGUGCCAGCAGCCGCGGUAAUACGUAGGUGGCAAGCGUUGUCCGGAUUUAUUGGGCGUAAAGCGAGCGCAGGCGGUUUCUUAAGUCUGAUGUGAAAGCCCCCGGCUCAACCGGGGAGGGUCAUUGGAAACUGGGAGACUUGAGGGCAGAAGAGGAGAGUGGGAUUCCAUGUGUAGCGGUGAAAUGCGUAGAUAUAUGGAGGAACACCAGUGGCGAAGGCGGCUCUCUGGUCUGUAACUGACGCUGAGGCUCGAAAGCGUGGGGAGCAAACAGG
rnacentral:rRNA from 1 species